ACGCUGGCGGCAGGCCUAACACAUGCAAGUCGAGCGGUAGAGAGAAGCUUGCUUCUCUUGAGAGCGGCGGACGGGUGAGUAAUGCCUAGGAAUCUGCCUGGUAGUGGGGGAUAACGUUCGGAAACGGACGCUAAUACCGCAUACGUCCUACGGGAGAAAGCAGGGGACCUUCGGGCCUUGCGCUAUCAGAUGAGCCUAGGUCGGAUUAGCUAGUUGGUGAGGUAAUGGCUCACCAAGGCGUCGAUCCGUAACUGGUCUGAGAGGAUGAUCAGUCACACUGGAACUGAGACACGGUCCAGACUCCUACGGGAGGCAGCAGUGGGGAAUAUUGGACAAUGGGCGAAAGCCUGAUCCAGCCAUGCCGCGUGUGUGAAGAAGGUCUUCGGAUUGUAAAGCACUUUAAGUUGGGAGGAAGGGCAGUUACCUAAUACGUGAUUGUUUUGACGUUACCGACAGAAUAAGCACCGGCUAACUCUGUGCCAGCAGCCGCGGUAAUACAGAGGGUGCAAGCGUUAAUCGGAAUUACUGGGCGUAAAGCGCGCGUAGGUGGUUUGUUAAGUUGGAUGUGAAAUCCCCGGGCUCAACCUGGGAACUGCAUUCAAAACUGACUGACUAGAGUAUGGUAGGGGGUGGUGGAAUUUCCUGUGUAGCGGUGAAAUGCGUAGAUAUAGGAAGGAACACCAGUGGCGAAGGCGACCACCUGGACUGAUACUGACACUGAGGUGCGAAAGCGUGGGGAGCAAAC
rnacentral:rRNA from 1 species